rnacentral:rRNA from 1 species
GACGAACGCUGGCGGCGUGCCUAACACAUGCAAGUCGAACGGAGUAAAACGCUGAUUUGAAGUUAGUUUACUAAUGAAUUUUCUUGUUUUACUUAGUGGCGGACGGUGAGUAACGCGUGAGGAACCCUGCCCUUCAGAGGGGGACAACAGUUGGAAACGACUGCUAAUACCGCAUGAUGUACAUUUGGGACAUCCCUUAUGUACCAAAGGAGCAAUCCGCUGAAGGAUGGCCUCGCGUCCGAUUAGAUAGUUGGUGGGGUAACGGCCCACCAAGUCGACGAUCGGUAGCCGGACUGAGAGGUUGAACGGCCACAUUGGGACUGAGACACGGCCCAGACUCCUACGGGAGGCAGCAUGGGGAUAUUGCACAAAUGGGGGAAACCCUGAUGCAGCGACGCCGCGUGAGGGAAGACGGUUUUCGGAUUGUAAAACCUCUGUCUUCGGGGACGAACAAAUGACGGUACCCGAGGAGGAAGCCACGGCUAACUACGUG